rnacentral:rRNA from 1 species
GCUAGUAAUCGUGGAUCAGCAUGCCACGGUGAAUACGUUCCCGGGUCUUGUACACACCGCCCGUCACACCAUGGGAGCUGGUAACACCCGAAGUCAGUAGUCUAACCGCAAGGAGGACGCUGCCGAAGGUGGGAUUAGCGACUGGGGUGAAGUCGUAACAAGGUAAC